rnacentral:rRNA from 1 species
UACGUAGGGAGCAAGCGUUAUCCGGAUUUAUUGGGUGUAAAGGGUGCGUAGACGGGAAGGCAAGUUAGUUGUGAAAUCCCUCGGCUUAACUGAGGAACUGCAACUAAAACUAUCUUUCUUGAGUGCUGGAGAGGAAAGUGGAAUUCCUAGUGUAGCGGUGAAAUGCGUAGAUAUCGCGCAGAACUCCGAUUGCGAAGGCAGCGUACCGGCGCCAGACUGACGCUGAGGCACGAAAGCGUGGGGAUCGAACAGG